CCUACGGGAGGCAGCAGUGGGGAAUAUUGGACAAUGGGGGGAACCCUGAUCCAGCCAUGCCGCGUGUGUGAAGAAGGCCCUCGGGUUGUAAAGCACUUUCAGUGAGGAAGAACGCCUGGUGGUUAAUACCCAUCAGGAAAGACAUCACUCACAGAAGAAGCACCCGCUAACUCCGUGCCAGCAGCCGCGGUAAUACGGAGGGUGCGAGCGUUAAUCGGAAUUACUGGGCGUAAAGCGCGCGUAGGUGGCUUGAUAAGCCGGUUGUGAAAGCCCCGGGCUCAACCUGGGAACGGCAUCCGGAACUGUCAAGCUAGAGUGCAGGAGAGGAAGGUAGAAUUCCCGGUGUAGCGGUGAAAUGCGUAGAGAUCGGGAGGAAUACCAGUGGCGAAGGCGGCCUUCUGGACUGACACUGACACUGAGGUGCGAAAGCGUGGGUAGCAAACAGGAUUAGAUACCCCAGUAGUC
rnacentral:rRNA from 1 species